GGGGGAGGGAAAAGAAUCGCUGGUGUUUACUGGGCGUGAGGUGAAGAGCGAGGGGUUGUUGAGAGAGUAGGGGAGCUGCAGUUCUUCAUCCGUACUUCACCCUCAACUUGGGUCCUGGAGUUUCCCACUUUCGGAAACCUCUGCCGCUAUGGGACUGCGGAAGAAAAACAAGAGUCCGCCAGUCUUGAGCCAUGAGUUCGUUAUCCAGAACCACGCGGAUGCUGUAUCCUGCCUGGCCAUGGGCCUCCUCUUGGGGCUCAUGUUCGAGGUUACAUCCAAAUAUGCCAUCAUGUUUAUAACUGUACAAUACAAUGUUACAUACAACAUAGAUGAUGGAUCUGACCCAGUUCAUUUCUAUGAGUAUGGUCCAAAAGACAUGGCCACCAUCUUCUUCUACAUGCUUAUAGCCAUUAUUUUGCAUGCAGUGAUUCAGGAAUAUAUACUAGAUAAAAUUAAUAGACGUCUCCACUUGUCAAAAACAAAACAUAGCAAAUUCAAUGAGUCAGGACAACUAGCCUUUUUCUACUUGUUUUCAUUUGUAUGGGGAGCAAGUAUUUUGUCUGCAGAAGAAUUUACAACAAAUCCAACUUUGUUAUGGAAGGAUUACCCUCAUUCUCAUAUGUUUUUUCAGGUUAAAUUCUUCUAUAUUUGCCAAAUUGCCUAUUGGCUCCAUGCACUUCCAGAACUGUACUUCCAAAAGAUUAGAAAGGAAGAUAUUCCAAGACAGUUGCACUAUAUUUGUCUUUAUAUUGCCCAUAUAUCUGGUGCCUAUAUCUUGAACCUUCAGCGCUUGGGUCUAAUUUUGCUGAUACCUCAUUAUCUUGUAGAGCUCAUUUUUCACGCUUCACGUCUAUUCUACUUCAGUGAUGAGAAUAAACAGAAAGGAUUUACCCUUUGGGCACUUUUAUUUGUAAUGGCUCGUCUUUUGACCCUGACUUUGUCAGUUCUCACCUUUGGAUUUGGUCUCACAAAAGCAGAAAACUCUGGCUUUUCUGUAGCAGAAGGAAACUUCAAUAUACUCACAAUUAGAAUUAGCUGUCUGGCCGCAAUUUGUUUGACUCAGGCUUGGAUGAUGUGGAAAUUCAUCAAUUUCCAGUUAAAGAAAUGGAGAGAACAUGCACAGAAUCAAAUUCCUAAGAAAAAAACAAACACAAAAAUUAAGUCAACAAAAAAAGAGUCCUGCAGAUAUAGUCAUUUUUUAACAGUUGGGACUGACAACUCUGCUACUAAGUGAUGCAAUAGUUAUUAAGACGUCAUAUGGCUUUAUGACCUCUCUUUCACCACACCUGUCAAGCCACCUGUAGUUAUCCGCGAUCAUUAAGCAAGACCUAAUUCUAACUUCGUAAAUGGAACAAUAAAAUCUGAAGAGGGCAUAUCACCUAGGAAAAGAAGAUCAAAAUUUUUGUGAAGAGCACAGAUAUAGAGGACACUGAUUUAAUUGAAGACUUUCUCACCUUAAAUAGAAAAUCUACAUCACACUGACCAUAGAACAACUCUAUUUGGCUAUUUGGGCUAAAGAACAUUGGUUAAAAUAAUAUAUUUUUAAGUGUAUGUUCAUCAAAACAAACUUACAAUGACAAUAUUAUUUUAAAAUCAUUUAUUUAACACAAUCAUCUUGAAAAUAGGAUAUUUUAUUAUAGCCUGACCUCUAAUUACAAUGCUGUAAUAUUAAUAGAACAGCAUGGGGGAAUCUAAUAAAUCACAGUUGUCUUUUAUUUGGAACUUUAUUUCAUUGUAUAAAAUGUAAUUUUAGAAUUAAAGUUAGAUUUAUUUUGCAAUUUUUUUCUAAAAUUUCUAUUAUUAAAGUGCUUGAAAUUCCUUUUUAGGCUAGAGGACAAAUUAUUAUUUUUUAUUACCUCUCCAUUUGGUUAAAUGAGUUGUCAUUAGAACAUCAGUUAAUACUAUAAUUUUAGAAAAUGUCAGUUUAGCAUAUCCAACAAUGUGCUUUCAAACAAUUCCCAUCAUGUAAUAAUUUAAUGCUUAAUUUUGAAGAAUGGAAUCCUUUUUAAUUCCAAAAAGCUGGUUUUAUAUUAAUGGAUUCUGAAGUAUUUGUAAAAAAAAAAAAUAUUUGAAACUACAUGCUUCUUCAAUAUGGUGCUAAAAAGUGCUAGUUUAUUUAGAGAUCCAUGAAACUGUUAUAUAAUUAAUAUUUAAUUUGCAGAACUUAAAACAUUUUGAAAUUAUUUUCCUAGUGUGAAAAAAUGUCAGGUUGUAACAUUAAAUACUAAAAAGACAUUCAUAAAUUCUGCAUUUUUGUCAGAAAACAAUAUUAAAAAUACCAGGCCCUGCAAUAUAAUUUUGCCAUUUAGUCUGAUCCUCCAUCAUACCAAAAGCUUUUUAUUACCAAAUAAUAGCUUUCCUUGGAUGCUUAUUGUAAUAGCAGAAAUGCACAUAUUUACUAAGAAACAGGACAUUUUUGAUUGUGCCAAAAUCUCCUGUUAUAAUUCUUUCAAAAGGGUAGGACAACUGGUGCCUUCUAGAAUUAACCAUACUAGUUAGAGGUGACAGAAGUUAAAGUCCAGAACAUCUGAAGCAAAACAGGUUUUCUUCCUUCUUUUGGAAAAAUGGUUUUGUACUUGAGACAAUUGAUUGGAAUUCAAAACUACAGGAAAUGGCUUUUAUUACCCUUGUAGACUUUGCAACCUGGCAUGGAAAACAUUCAAAGUGGAUUUUUUAAAUACCUGUAUGUCAUGCCAUAUGAUUUACUGGACCUACUGUUAGAAGUUCUACUGGAUUCAUAGAAUUGAGUUCAUGAUUCUUUAUAUUAUAAAUAUAGACUUCUAGAUUUAAAACAGUCGUACUAUUUUCAAAUUUCUAUUUAAGGAUUUUCUCUUCUGCUUUCUCAGGUUAUCUGUUCAAAACUGGAGUAGUCUUUGUUUAGUUAAAGUGGAUUAGUUUGCAGUUAUGAAACUAGAAUUCAAACUCCAUGGCUACUUUAUAAUUCACAAUGAAACAAUUAGAAUCUUGUCUGUUUGUAAGUCUUGUAGCACCAGCCGCUAAUCAAAGAAUAAAGGCCAUAUCCUUGUUUGAAUUUCUAAAAGCUCUGAUAAUUGCUUAAACCUAAAUGAAUUCUACAAGUGUCUAUUAUCAAUCUGGCAUUAUCCCUAUGAGCUCAGACUCUAGUUCCCACAAUUUCUAUCAACUUUAUUUAUUAUUAUUAUUAUGGUAGCUGGGAUAUUUUGAGUUAUAGUUCCAAAACAUCUAAGGGGUGCCUUUUGGGGAAAGGCUGCUGUAAAGACUAUAGAGAAGUCUUCACCAAUAGAAUCUUUGGGAGUCUCUCAAUAUCUCUAACAACUGGGAAUGUUAGGAAAUAUAGUCUUAAAUAUUUGUAGGUCAUUGGAUCAGAGAAGGCUGAUAUAGCAGUUCAGUCUAUAUAUUACUAAAAUUAUAUUUGCUGUAUAUCUUGUAAGUCUGAUGCUUAUCUUGGCAGGCAUUGCCAUAAUGUAAGAAAAUUCUACUUAAUUAAAUUAGGAAUAAGAAGUAAAAUGAAAGAUGUUGGGGGCUGCAAUUCAAAAAUAUGACUUGCAUAUUUCCAGCUCAUGCUAUAUGUAUAGUAGUUUUCCCUUUCCUAGCACUUUCAAAUUUUUGGAUUGCUAAUUAAAGCCAGCAUGGCUACGUUGCCAUAGAGAAAAUGAAUUGCCUUAACAUUGCAAUCUGGGAUAUUCUAGGCAUCAGAUUUUGGGUUUUUUUUUAGAUAACUAUAGGUACCAUAAACAUUUCACAUUAUAAUAUUAAUAGAUUCAUCACUGGGAGCACAAAUAGUAGAAGUGCCAAAGAUGUCUGUUUUAUAUGGACACAGACUGACUGACUGUUACAUUUCCCAUUCUAAAUACCUUAAUUAUAACUAGCUAUUGUUUUUUAUGAUUUGCCAUACUUUUUAAUAAUGUUUGACACUUAAAGUACUAAUAAGAAAGAGUUAAAAAUGAUUCUCUAGUUCUGACAAAAAUGUUUGUGAUUGAUUUAGAAGUCAAGAUAGCUGCCUCACAGUCCAUUGUGAAAUUACCUCGCCUUGCCUCUUGACCAUGUUCCUGUGACAAACAAGUGGCUUACAUUUUUUUAAAAUUUAUCAGUAGCAUUCAAUAAAUUUAAUCACAUAUAUUUAGAUGUUACUAUAUAGAUGAAAUCAUUCUUUUAUUAUGUGAAAUGGGGGAUUUGUAUUACUUAAACAUUUUAGGUCAAAAUACUAUUCUAGAUUUGAUUCUUUUCUUCAUUUGUCAUCUGUGUAUCAAUUUGUUUUAAGAUUUUUAUCUGCUGACCUCAUAAUACCCAUUUUGCUAUAGAAUGAGCAUUUUAAUGAUUUUGAUAGAAAUUUAUAUAAUCAUUUCAUUUGAUAGAACCUUAAUCUUCUGAGCCGUUUUGCUUAAAAAAAAACCCCUUCUGAUUAAUUUUCACUGUACUUCUUGUAAGAUGUUGCUUUCUCUAGUCACAUGUCUGUGCUUCUGGACUUGUUACAAAUAGGACAACUGGUUAUAUCUUCAUCCUAAUCAUGAACACUUGUGUUCAUGUAAAGUGAUUUAUUUUACUAAUUUCAAAUAAAAGAAAAUGGAAAACUCCUUUGCCUCUCAAAACAGAAUACUAUAAGAUUUAUCAGUAAUAAAAGCUUUUAGGAAAUAGAUGUGGCCUUUUAACUCAUGGAGUCAAUUUGUUCUGCAGGCUAGAAUUACAUCCUUAUAGAAGAUCAUAGUUCAACUAUUGUAUUGCUAUGAAAAUUAACUAUUUAACUUAGCCUACCAUUUCUUCUAUCCCUGUACACUUCAGAAAUUUAAUUUCCUUUUUUAAAUUCUAGAAAAUUAAACUAAAAUAGUUUAAAAUGUAUGUUACCUACAAUAUCCUUGAAAUGCAAACAUUUUGUGUGUGUGUGUGCGCGCGUGUGUGUACACCUUGUUUCUUUGAGUAGAAAAAUUUGCAGCAUGGGAGGAAUAUAAAUGGAAUAUCAUACUGUCCUGUGUCAUUGCACUUGAUUGCACAGAUGAAUGUUUUAUGUACUAUCAAAUGUUAAAUAAAAGGUGGGCCUGUGCCUUAA